rnacentral:rRNA from 1 species
UACGAAGGGGGCUAGCGUUGCUCGGAAUCACUGGGCGUAAAGCGCACGUAGGCGGCUUUGUAAGUUAGAGGUGAAAGCCCAGGGCUCAACCCUGGAAUUGCCUUUAAGACUGCAUCGCUAGAAUUGUGGAGAGGUAAGUGGAAUUCCGAGUGUAGAGGUGAAAUUCGUAGAUAUUCGGAAGAACACCAGUGGCGAAGGCGACUUACUGGACACAUAUUGACGCUGAGGUGCGAAAGCGUGGGGAGCAAACAGG